rnacentral:rRNA from 1 species
GACGUAGGGGGGCCAGCGUUUGUUCGGAAUUACUGGGUGUAAAGGGUUCGUAGGCGGUGCGGCAAGUUGGGAGUGAAAUCUCUGGGCUUAACCCAGAGGCUGCUUCCGAAACUGCUGUGCUUGAGUGUGGGAGAGGCGCGUGGAAUUGCAGGUGUAGCGGUGAAAUGCGUAGAUAUCUGCAGGAACACCCGUGGCGAAAGCGGCGCGCUGGACCACUACUGACGCUGAGGAACGAAAGCUAGGGGAGCAAACAGG